rnacentral:rRNA from 1 species
AUUGAACGCUGGCGGCAGGCCUAACACAUGCAAGUCGAGCGAGCGGCGGACGGGUGAGUAAUUCCUGGGAACCUGCCUGUUGGAGGGGGAUAACUACUGGAAACGGUGGUUAAUACCGCUAACAUUCAGUUGUUCCCAGAUGGGAUUAGCUAGUGGGGGGGGUAACGGCUCACCUAGGCGACGAUCCCUACCUGGUCUGAGAGGAUGACAAGCCACACGGGAACUGAGACACGGUCCAGACUCCUACGGGAGGCAGCAGUGGGGAAUAUUGCACAAUGGGCGCAAGCCUGAUGCAGCCAUGCCGCGUGUGUGAAGAAGGCCUUCGGGUUGUAAAGCACUUUCAGCGGGGAGGCGUUACCCGCAGAAGAAGCACCGGCUAACUCCGUGCCAGCAGCCGCGGUAAUAC